rnacentral:rRNA from 1 species
GAUGAACGCUGGCGGCGUGCCUAAUACAUGCAAGUCGAGCGAACAGACGAGGAGCUUGCUCCUCUGACGUUAGCGGCGGACGGGUGAGUAACACGUGGAUAACCUACCUAUAAGACUGGGAUAACUUCGGGAAACCGGAGCUAAUACCGGAUAAUAUAUUGAACCGCAUGGUUCAAUAGUGAAAGACGGUUUUGCUGUCACUUAUAGAUGGAUCCGCGCCGCAUUAGCUAGUUGGUAAGGUAACGGCUUACCAAGGCAACGAUGCGUAGCCGACCUGAGAGGGUGAUAGGCCACACUGGAACUGAGACACGGUCCAGACUCCUACGGGAGGCAGCAGUAGGGAAUCUUCCGCAAUGGGCGAAAGCCUGACGGAGCAACGCCGCGUGAGUGAUGAAGUUCUUCGGAUCGUAAAACUCUGUUAUUAGGGAAGAACAAAUGUGUAAGUAACUAUGCACGUAUUGACGGUACCUAAUCAGAAAGCCACGGCUAACUACGUG